UACAGAGGGUGCGAGCGUUAAUCGGAUUUACUGGGCGUAAAGCGUGCGUAGGCGGUUCGUUAAGUUCGUUGUGAAAGCCCCGGGCUCAACCUGGGAACUGCAAUGGAAACUGGCGGGCUUGAGUGUGGCAGAGGGGGGUGGAAUUCCGCGUGUAGCAGUGAAAUGCGUAGAGAUGCGGAGGAACACCGAUGGCGAAGGCAGCCCCCUGGGCCAACACUGACGCUCAGGCACGAAAGCGUGGGGAGCAAACAG
rnacentral:rRNA from 1 species